UUGGCGGAAUGCUUCCACACUGCAGUCGAACGGCAGCACGGUGGGCACCCUGGUGGCGAGUGGCGAACGGGUUAUACAUCGGAACGUGCCCAGUCGUGGGGGAUAACGUAGCGAAAGCUACGCUAAUACCGCAUACGAACUCAGGUUGAAAGCGGGGGAUCGCACGACCUCGCGCGAUUGGAGCGGCCGAUGGCAGACUAGGUAGUUGGUGGGGUAAAGGCCUACCAAGCCGACGAUCUGUAGCUGGUCUGAGAGGACCACCAGCCACACUGGGACUGAGACACGGCCCAGACUCCUACGGGAGGCAGCAGUGGGGAAUUUUGGACAAUGGGCGCAAGCCUGAUCCAGCCAUUCCGCGUGCAGGAUGAAGGCCCUCGGGUUGUACACUGCUUUUGUACGGAACGAAAAGGCUCUGGUUAAUACCCGGGGCUGAUGACGGUACCGUAAGAAUAAGCA
rnacentral:rRNA from 1 species